UAGGGAAUCUUCCACAAUGGACGAAAGUCUGAUGGAGCAAUGCCGCGUGAGUGAAGAAGGUUUUCGGAUCGUAAAGCUCUGUUGUAAGGGAAGAACAAGUAUGGGAGUAACUGCCCGUACCUUGACGGUACCUUAUUAGAAAGCCACGGCUAACUACGUGCCAGCAGCCGCGGUAAUACGUAGGUGGCAAGCGUUGUCCGGAAUUAUUGGGCGUAAAGCGCGCGCAGGCGGCCUUUUAAGUCUGAUGUGAAAGCCCCCGGCUCAACCGGGGAAGGUCAUUGGAAACUGAAGGGCUUGAGUACAGAAGAGGAAAGCGGAAUUCCACGUGUAGCGGUGAAAUGCGUAGAGAUGUGGAGGAACACCAGUGGCGAAGGCGGCUUUCUGGUCUGUAACUGACGCUGAGGCGCGAAAGCGUGGGGAGCAAACAGGAUUAGAUACCCUGGUAGUCCACGCCGUAAACGAUGAGUGCUAAGUGUUAGGGGGUUUCCGCCCCUUAGUGCUGGAGCAAACGCAUUAAG
rnacentral:rRNA from 1 species